GGAUCUUUGCUUGAGCAACGACUUCCGCCCGUUCGAGCCUCUUCAUUGUUGGUACAAGAGUUUUUCUAACCUUGACCGUCUUUGGUUUCCUGUGUUGCAUACCGAUUACACGGAAUUGAUUUGUUUCAAUUGCCCCUCGUUCGUCUUGUGAUGCCCGUUUUUGACGUGUGCGUCGCUGAUGAAUCCCGAAGUGCCCGUUGCCGUCCGCCUUGGCCACGUUAAGUCGUGCGUUUCAUGCGGCCUGUGACGAUGCACUUGUACUCACGGAUGCGGAACCCUCAUAGGGUACGGGGCUUGUCCCCUUUUUGCCCAAAACUAAGCGUUCACCGCUAAUUAGCGAACGACCGUUGUUGUCGCCUCAGGAUGGUUGUCUCUACGAGUCAUGCCACGCCUGAGCGUCACCUACGUCGAUGAGGA
rnacentral:misc_RNA from 1 species